rnacentral:rRNA from 1 species
UACAGAGGUCUCAACCGUUGUUCGGAUUCAUUGGGCGUAAAGGGCGCGUAGGCGGUCUUGCAAGUCCCGUGUGAAAUCCCUCGGCUCAACUGAGGAACUGCACGGGAAACUGCUUGGCUUGAGUUCGGGAGAGGGAAGCGGAAUUCCGGGUGUAGCGGUGAAAUGCGUAGAUAUCUGGAGGAACACCGGUGGCGAAGGCGGCAUCCUGGACCGGCAUUGACGCUGAGGCGCGAAAGCCAGGGGAGCAAACGGG